rnacentral:rRNA from 1 species
ACGAACGCUGGCGGCGUGCUUAACACAUGCAAGUCGAACGGAAAGGCCCUGCUUUUGUGGGGUGCUCGAGUGGCGAACGGGUGAGUAACACGUGAGUAACCUGCCCUUGACUUUGGGAUAACUUCAGGAAACUGGGGCUAAUACCGGAUAGGAGCUCCUGCUGCAUGGUGGGGGUUGGAAAGUUUCGGCGGUUGGGGAUGGACUCGCGGCGUAUCAGCUUGUUGGUGGGGUAGUGGCUUACCAAGGCUUUGACGGGUAGCCGGCCUGAGAGGGUGACCGGCCACAUUGGGACUGAGAUACGGCCCAGACUCCUACGGGAGGCAGCAGUGAGGAAUAUUGCACAAUGGGCGGAAGCCUGAUGCAGCAACGCCGCGUGCGGGAUGACGGCCUUCGGUUUGUAAACCGCUUUCGCCUGUGACGAAGCGUGAGUGACGGUAAUGGGUAAAGAAGCACCGGCUAACUACGUG